UCCAAAACCAGGGACUGUAGUGGCGCCUCUUUGCACUGAGAUGCAGCGCCUUAGACAGCUGCGCCACUCGGGAUCCUAUAACAGAGAUAGUAACAACACCAGUAAAUUACAAGAAGGACAACUAGUUACUAAAACUAAGCGCUGUGAUUGGAGCGUUUCGCUUCCCGCAGCUGCGCAGACACUGGGACCUCGCUGGAGCUGUCAUCUGGAAGGGAGGAGAGAGAGAGAGAGAGAGAGAGAGAGAGAGAGACAGAAGGAAGGAAAACAAAUAAACGCAGCAGGACGCGACUCAACGAGUCAGAAGCUGUCUUCCUGGUGAAGCCCAUAUGAUAUGGCUGCAAGCAGAACUCCUCCGUCUGUGAUUGGUCAUCGAGGGUAAGACGCUGUGAUAGGCCGAGAAGUCCAAACAUGGACCCACACCAUCCUGGGGUUACCGACGGUCCUCAGCUCUACGAUCUGUGACCUCUGACCCCUGGCUCAGGACUGACCUCCUAUCAGGAGGCCCCGCCUCUUCGGGCGAUGAUGUCAGUAGACGUGGCCAAUAGGAACGGCCCUGCCGUGACACCUCCCGCCUCCCUCAGCCUUCGCUCCUCCCACGGCCGUGAUGUCAGAGGCGAUGACGUCGCCGGGCAGGGG